rnacentral:lncRNA from 1 species
UUUAUCUAGUGCAUGUUGCUCAUCUACUCCAUAUGUUCACCAGAUGACAAGCAGAGGAAGUUGGUUGUUUUGUGAAUUUGUGCUUCUUAAAUUAUGACAUUAAUUUCCUAAUUUUGAGGCUUGCUUUAGUUUUCCACCAUUGGCAAGUUUGCAAAACAUUAAAGGAGGUUAAUCUUGAGUUCCAUUAAAGAUCAUCUUGGUACCAAAUAGCUUUGGUCAACAUAGGUUGGUUCUAGUUUUUGAAUGGCGUUUUACUUCCUAUCGUGCUUUGUCUUAAGAAAGAAAGAAUUGGCAGACGUUACAAAUUUUUUUGUCACGUGCCUUAGAAGACAUGCAAUACUUUUGAGCUUGAACUGAUAACUUUUUUUCUUUUGGGUUUCUCAUGCUCAGGUUCCCGAUGAUCUUUUAGAAGAAGCCAAAGCAGCAGCUAAAGCCGCACUUGAGGAAAUGGAUGCUGAUUAGGAGCUCAAAAGCAUAUGCUUCCUGCUCUUUUAGUCUUUCACUUUUUUGAGAGCAUAUACUCAUCUCGAAAAACCCUAU